UGCAGUCGAGGGGUAACAGGAAAGCUUGCUUUCGCUGACGACCGGCGCACGGGUGCGUAACGCGUAUGCAACCUACCUCAUACUGGAGGAUAGCCCCUGGAAACGGGGAUUAAUACUCCAUAGUAUCACGAAUUCGCAUGUUUUUGUGAUUAAAGUUUUUCGGUAUGAGAUGGGCAUGCGUCCCAUUAGCUUGUUGGUGAGGUAACGGCUCACCAAGGCAACGAUGGGUAGGGGGCCUGAGAGGGUGGUCCCCCACACUGGUACUGAGACACGGACCAGACUCCUACGGGAGGCAGCAGUGAGGAAUAUUGGUCAAUGGAGGCAACUCUGAACCAGCCAUGCCGCGUGAAGGAUGACGGCCCUAUGGGUUGUAAACUUCUUUUAUAGAGGAAGAAACUUGUCUACGUGUAGACAACUGACGGUACUCUACGAAUAAGGAUCGGCUAACUCCGCGCCAGCAGCCGCGGUAAUACGGAGGAUCCAAGCGUUAUCCGGAUUCAUUGGGUUUAAAGGGUCCGUAGGCGGGUCUUUAAGUCAGUGGUGAAAGCCGACAGCUCAACUGUCGAACUGCCAUUGAUACUGGAGACCUUGAGUACAAAUGAAGUA
rnacentral:rRNA from 1 species